rnacentral:rRNA from 1 species
GCAUAUCAAUAAGCGGAGGAAAAGAAACCAACAGGGAUUGCCCCAGUAGCGGCGAGUGAAGCGGCAAGAGCUCAGAUUUGAAAUCGUGUUUCGGCACGAGUUGUAGAGUGUAGGCGGGAGUCUCUGUGGAGUGCGGUGUCCAAGUCCCUUGGAACAGGGUGCCUGAGAGGGUGAGAGCCCCGUAGGGUGCUGCGCGAAGCUUUUGAGGCCCUGCUGACGAGUCGAGUUGUUUGGGAAUGCAGCUCCAAGCGGGUGGUAAAUUCCAUCUAAGGCUAAAUAUUGGCGAGAGACCGAUAGCGAACAAGUACUGUGAAGGAAAGAUGAAAAGCACUUUGAAAAGAGAGUGAAACAGCACGUGAAAUUGUUGAAAGGGAAGGGUAUUGGGCUCGACAUGGGGGGUGCGCACCGCUGUCUCUUGUAGGCGGCGCUCUGGGCGCCCUCUGGGCCAGCAUCGGUUCCUGCUGCGGGAGAAGGGGCUCCGGAAAGUGGCUCUUCGGAGUGUUAUAGCCGGGGCCAGAUGCCGCGUGUGGGGACCGAGGACUGCGGCUUCUGUCUCGGAUGCUGGCAUAACGGCGCAAUACCGCCCGUCUU